GUCACCCCUGUCCCCUGAAGGCCUGUCACCUGGCCUGUCCACCAGAGUGACAGCUCUGGCCCUGGCAGGCCUGGGGCCUCUCCCCAGGGGUUGGCCUGGCUGACUCCACCAAUCUUUGAGGCCCGGAGAAGAGCACCGGUGUCACCGCCCACUCCUCCUGACAGCCCGCAACGGUCCAUCAGUGUCGGGGGAAAAGGGUGGCCCUAAGGCUCCCCCCCCCCCCGCACACUCUCAGAAGCUGCUGGUUGCCAUAGGGAACCGAGGGGCAAGACAAGGAAGGAUGCCAGGGGUGGGCAGACGCGGGAAGGCAAGCCCUGGCUCAGCACCGCGGACUCCCUUCCCGAAGUCCCUCAGGCUCCGGCCAGUGGCCGCGCUGAUGAGGCUAUCAUCUCGGGAAAGCUGGUGCAGCGGCCAGGGCGCAGGGGCUGCCAGCCAGGCCUGCUGUCUAGGCGGCUCCACCUGGAUGCAGAAAGCGAGGCGGGCAGGGAGACGCAAUAGCCAGAAGAUUGGACCUGCAGACUUGGGGUCAUCACCACUGUGGGAGCCCAACGCAACCCCCCAACCGCUGUUUUGCUAAUCCCUCCCUAUGGCCAUAGCAAGCUAAGGAACACUUUCUUGUUAUUCUUAACCAUCGGUAGCCUAGGCUGGUCUCAAACACAGUAAAUAGUUAGAAAAUGACUUUAAACUUCUGAUCCUCCACCUCUCAAGAGAUGAGAUUAUAGGCUUGUGUGUUCCACACCCCGUGCG
rnacentral:lncRNA from 1 species